rnacentral:rRNA from 1 species
GAUGAACGCUGACAGAAUGCUUAACACAUGCAAGUCAACUUGAAUUUGGGUUUUUAACUUAGAUUUGGGUGGCGGACGGGUGAGUAACGCGUAAAGAACUUGCCUCACAGCUAGGGACAACAUUUAGAAAUGAAUGCUAAUACCUGAUAUUAUGAUUUUAAGGCAUCUUAGAAUUAUGAAAGCUAUAAGCACUGUGAGAGAGCUUGCGUCCCAUUAGCUAGUUGGAGAGGUAACAGCUCACCAAGGCGAUGAUGGGUAGCCGGCCUGAGAGGGUGAACGGCCACAAGGGGACUGAGACACGGCCCUUACUCCUACGGGAGGCAGCAGUGGGGAAUAUUGGACAAUGGACCGAGAGUCUGAUCCAGCAAUUCUGUGUGCACGAUGAAGUUUUUCGGAAUGUAAAGUGCUUUCAGUUGGGAAGAAAAAAAUGACGGUACCAACAGAAGAAGUGACGGCUAAAUACGUGCCAGCAGCCGCGGUAAUACGUAUGUCACGAGCGUUAUCCGGAUUUAUUGGGCGUAAAGCGCGUCUAGGUGGUUAUGUAAGUCUGAUGUGAAAAUGCAGGGCUCAACUCUGUAUUGCGUUGGAAACUGUAUAACUAGAGUACUGGAGAGGUAAGCGGAACUACAAGUGUAGAGGUGAAAUUCGUAGAUAUUUGUAGGAAUGCCGAUGGGGAAGCCAGCUUACUGGACAGAUACUGACGCUAAAGCGCGAAAGCGUGGGUAGCAAACAGG